GACGUAGGAGGCGAGCGUUGUCCGGAUUCAUUGGGCGUAAAGAGCGCGCAGGCGGCUUGGUAAGUCGGAUGUGAAAUCCCGAGGCUCAACCUCGGGUCUGCAUCCGAUACUGCCCGGCUAGAGGUAGGUAGGGGAGAUCGGAAUUCCUGGUGUAGCGGUGAAAUGCGCAGAUAUCAGGAGGAACACCGGUGGCGAAGGCGGCUCUCUGGGACGGUACUGACGCUGAGACGCGAAAGCGUGGGGAGCGAACAGG
rnacentral:rRNA from 1 species